GGUGAACGCUGGCGGCGCGCCUAACACAUGCAAGUCGAACGGCACCCCUCUCCGGAGGGAAGCGAGUGGCGAACGGCUGAGUAACACGUGGAGAACCUGCCCCCUCCCCCGGGAUAGCCGCCCGAAAGGACGGGUAAUACCGGAUACCCCGGGGUGCCGCAUGGCACCCCGGCUAAAGCCCCGACGGGAGGGGAUGGCUCCGCGGCCCAUCAGGUAGACGGCGGGGUGACGGCCCACCGUGCCGACAACGGGUAGCCGGGUUGAGAGACCGACCGGCCAGAUUGGGACUGAGACACGGCCCAGACUCCUACGGGAGGCAGCAGUGGGGAAUCUUGCGCAAUGGGGGGAACCCUGACGCAGCGACGCCGCGUGCGGGACGGAGGCCUUCGGGUCGUAAACCGCUUUCAGCAGGGAAGAGUCAAGACUGUACCUGCAGAAGAA
rnacentral:rRNA from 1 species